UGCAGUCGCACGAGAACGCUUCAGCUUGCUGAAGUUAGUAAAGUGGCGCACGGGUGAGUAACGCGUGGGUAAUCUACCCCCGAAUUGGGGAUAACAUCGCGAAAGCGAUGCUAAUACCGAAUGAUAUCUUGAAAACUCUGUUUUCUGGAUCAAAGAUGGCCUCUACAUGUAAGCUAUUGUUUGGGGAUGAGCCCGCGUACCAUUAGCUUGUUGGUAGGGUAAUGGCCUACCAAGGCAACGAUGGUUAGCUGGUCUGAGAGGAUGAUCAGCCACACUGGAACUGACACACGGUCCAGACUCCUACGGGAGGCAGCAGUGAGGAAUUUUGCGCAAUGGGGGAAACCCUGACGCAGCAACGCCGCGUGAGUGAUGAAGGCUUUCGGGUCGUAAAGCUCUGUCAAGUGGGAAGAAACCAUAUGGUGUUAAUAUCGCCAUAUGCUGACGGUACCAUUGAAGGAAGCACCGGCUAACUCCGUG
rnacentral:rRNA from 1 species